UCGGUCCUACGGGGCGCAGCAGUGAGGAAUAUUGGUCAAUGGGCGAGAGCCUGAACCAGCCAAGUCGCGUGAGGGAGUACUGCCCUAUGGGUUGUAAACCUCUUUUGCCGGGGAGCAAGGGCGGGGACGUGUCCCGGCCCGGAGAGUACCCGGAGAAAAAGCAUCGGCUAACUCCGUGCCAGCAGCCGCGGUAAUACGGAGGAUGCGAGCGUUAUCCGGAUUUAUUGGGUUUAAAGGGUGCGUAGGCGGGCUUUUAAGUCAGCGGUAAAAAUUCGGGGCUCAACCCCGUCCGGCCGUU
rnacentral:rRNA from 1 species